rnacentral:rRNA from 1 species
UCCGUAGGUGAACCUGCGGAGGGAUCAUUACACAAUAACAAGGCGGGCUGGACACCCCCCGCUGGGCACUGCUUCACGGCGUGCGCGGCGGGGCCGGCCCUGCUGAAUUAUUCACCCGUGUCUUUUGCGUACUUCUUGUUUCCUGGGUGGGCUCGCCCGCCCUCAGGACCAACCACAAACCUUUUGCAAUAGCAAUCAGCGUCAGUAACAACGUAAUUAAUUACAACUUUCAACAACGGAUCUCUUGGUUCUGGCAUCGAUGAAGAACGCAGCGAAAUGCGAUACGUAGUGUGAAUUGCAGAAUUCAGUGAAUCAUCGAAUCUUUGAACGCACAUUGCGCCCUUUGGUAUUCCAAAGGGCAUGCCUGUUCGAGCGUCAUUUGUACCCUCAAGCUUUGCUUGGUGUUGGGCGUCUUUUGUCUCCAGUUCGCUGGAGACUCGCCUUAAAGUCAUUGGCAGCCGGCCUACUGGUUUCGGAGCGCAGCACAAGUCGCGCUCUUUGCCAGCCAAGGUCAGCGUCCAGCAAGCCUUUUUUUCAACCUUUGACCUCGGAUCAGGUAGGGAUACCCGCUGAACUUAAGCAUAUCAAUAAGCGGAGGA